GCACUUGAAUCUUUCCCAUGCCUGACAGAACCAGUGUGGGCACGGGGACAUACGGUGCUAAAGCAAAGGCAGAGGAUAUCCAGAUGAGCCACUUGCCUCUCUUGUUAAGGGCUUGUCUCUACACCUCAGCAACAUUU